UCCUGCGAGCCUGGGGCACAGCGCUGGCCCGUUUCUUCCUGCUGCGGGGUGUCCCCUUCCUGCUGCACCGCGGAGAAAUGGCGCUGCUGCUGCCAGGGUGUCUUUUCUGCCUCUUGGCGGCUCCCUGCUGUGUCCUGUCGCAGAUCCGCCUGGUCCCGUCCGCCCCGGGAGUGGUGAAGCCCGGAGAGUCCCUCACGGUGACUUGUGCAGUGUCGGGGGACUCCAUCGCGACCCGCGCCUGGUGGAACUGGGUGCGCGAACUCCCCGGCCGAGGGCUGCAAUGGGUGGGGCGCAUCCAUUUCUCCGGGAGCACGAACUACGCCCCCGACCUGCAAACGCGAGCGAGCAUCGCCAAAGAUGACGCCAAGAACGAGUAUUACCUGCAGCUCCGCUCCCUGACCUCUGCGGACACCGGCACCUAUUACUGCACCAGGUGGGACCCACGGUGAUACGCGCCGGGACAAGACCUGAGAGGGGAGAGUCUCCCUGA